AAACAUUAUUGAAUUUGAAUGAUAAAUCGAUUUCUUUGCACUCCCUUACAGUCAACAUACUUUUAAAAUGCCAUCACAAAAAGUAAAAGAAUAUAAAAAUGAAGAUGUUGUAUGAUUGCCACUGUGAGAACUCCACAAAAGAGACCAAAUGACACAUAAAUUAACAACCAAAGGCCACCGUAUGACCGGCCUUUAACAAUGAGAAAAGGCCAUAACGCGUAGUCAGCUAUAAAAGGACCGAAAAUUACAAAUGUUAAACAAAUCAAAAGGAAAACUAACGGCCUAAUUUAAGUCCAAAAUAGUGAAAGAAAAACAAAUAUGUUACACAGCAACAAAUGUCAACCACAGAAUUGCAGGCUUCUGGCUUGGGACAGGC
rnacentral:lncRNA from 1 species